UUUUUUUGAUAAGUUACUCCAUGUAAGAAAUUUAAUUUUUCAGUUGCAUUGCACCUCCAAGCAUGCAAAAAUGCUUGUGUCCUCUGUUGAUUUAGCUUUCAUAAUCUUAAUUGUGAAAGAUGUCUGUUGAGUUUUACUGGUUUCAAGCACUUGAAUUCAUCUGUCUGAAUCAGGGGUACAUUUGUAACAUAAUUGAAACUGGCUGCUUUGUCCGCUUCCUUGGGCGUUUGACUGGAUUCUCUCCUAGAAACAAGGUACAAAUGUCUUUUUCAUCUUUUAUCAUGUGUUCCUAGUAAUGCUUUGUAGGCAUUACAUUUACUUUGGUCAAACUCUGCUUGUUUUUCGUUUUGAAGGUGAUGGAUGACCAAAGAGCUGUUCCUUCCGAAGCCUUUUUCAUUGGGCAAUCUGUUCGGAGUAAUAUACUUGAUGUUGGUGAACUAUCUAAAACUGACCUUUCUGAAGUAAUAACCUUCAAAUCAGUUUACUUAUUGCUUUUGUUUAAUUCAUUUUCAGGUGAACAGUGAAACAGGUAGAAUAACACUUUCUUUGAAGCAGUCAUGUUGCUCAUCAACAGAUGCAUCAUUUAUACAAGAAUAUUUUCUUUUGGAGGAGAAGGUAUAAAUUGUGUUUGUUUUACUUCUAAAAUUUUCAUAGUAAUCUCUUGUUGUUUUCAUUUCUCUGUCUUACCUGUUUAAACUUUUUAUUUAAUUUGCUUCAGAAAAUGGCCUUUGGCAGGUCUGAUCGAUAGGUGUAGCAAAAAAAUGGGGUGGGGUUAGACAGGAAAAUGGGGGACCUAAACCUGUUGAAAUUUCAGAAAUUUCUUACAGACUUUAUUGAAAUGCUGGUUUAUUUUUUCUUGUUAAGUCUUACUGUCUACUUUGCAUGUUAUUGAUAAGAUAAUGGCAGCUACAUGCAAGUGGAAUGAUAUUGGUAAGGUACAUGUUGCUACAAGGAUGAGAUGGAGACCAAAAAGAGGCUGCCUUCUUUUAUUUAUAAUUAUUUGGUUUUAGUUUUCUUUUCAUAGCAAGCCAUCUACCUUUUGUUUUUCUCCUCUUCUUUUGGAUCUUUCUGAGAUGCUAGAGAUUUAUUAUUAGUAGGCUAGUAAAAUUAAAGGUAGUUCACAUCGGUAAAGCUUGUCAUGUUUAGCCUGUGCUGUCAUCAACUAUAAUGACAUGCCAAACUUCAGUGGUUUUUAUUUUUUUAUAAUAGUAAAGUUGAAGAGAAUGAUGAGACAUCCUUCCCACAAAGUACAAAACUUGAUUAAAGUAUGACUAUACUCCACCAUGUAUAAGGAGAAGUAUCGAUAAAAGCGUGGACAAAAUAUCUCAAAAACUAAAAUCAAACUCUUGCAAACAUCACCCACCCCUUUCGAAUUACAAAUUGAAAGCUGACUACAUAGAAUAACAUUAGGUGGAAUUCCUCUGAAGGUGAUGGUACAAGAAGCCUAAAAAGAGGAGUAGAAAUGAAUAAGAUCCCAUAGCAUCCCUUUUGUUUUGCACUUUUCCUCAAAAAUCCUAACAUUUCUCUUUUGCCACACAACCCACAAUAUAGUGAUGCAUGCGAUAUGCUAAAGAGUCUUGCUUUUGAUUGAAUUCCCUAAGCCUCUAAAUGAAAUAAUUAUUAUAUCUCCAAUACUCCUUGGUGGAACUCAAUCCAUAUUAGUUACAUUGAAAAGCUUAUGCCAAAGCCCUAGUGUUAUUGAGCAACAUAAAAAAAGAUGAUAAAUUGAUUCUCCACUCCCUUUGCAUAAAAUGCACCAAUGAGGAUUAAGAGAUAUGUAAGGUCUUCUUACUUGUAGCAUGCCAUUGGUAUUUACCUUCUUGUGCACCACCAACUACGCAAAGGCUUUAACCUUUGAAGAGGCUUUUGAUUUCCAAGCAAAAUUAGUUGGAAGGAACAAAAUUGGAUUAGAGGGCUUGGACAAGACCGUGAAAAUAUAUUUUACUGAGAAUGAACAAAUGGAGGAUGAGGACCAAGCUCUUGAGUCGUGGUAGAAGAAGAUAAGUGCAUUGAAUUAAGUGAAGAUAUUAGUCUUUCGAGAAGUUCAAUUUCUAAAUUAGUGAGAUUGCGUUAGAAAUUAAGAUUCUAAGAAGACGGUUAGGAAUUUCCAAGGACAUCAGAGAUGGUAAGAUUUCUUAUUGGAAUAACCCUAUAAAGACUUGCAAAUCGUGAGCAUAAAAGUUUAUCUCUCCAUCAUAAAUCUUCCUAGAAUCGGAUUCUCUCCCCAUUCCCUACCACAAAGCGGGUGUAUGGGGAAAAGUUCUGAAAGACUUGAGCAAUAGCCUUCCAAGGAUAUUUGUGUGACCAUCUAACUAAAAUGUUGGUUUCAUCCAUUAGUAUGUAUCCCAUAAAUGCUUGAAAUCAUCUGAUACCAUAACAUAACUUUCCCUAAAGAAUCUCCAAAGCCAUUUCUCUAAGAGAGCACAAUUUCUCAAGGAAAUCUUCCUUAUCCCCAACUUUUCAAACUCCUUUGGUCUACACACUGUAUCCUAAUUGAUAAGAUGAUCUUUCUUCCUAUCUCUCGUCCUAGACCAUAGGAUUCCUUUGCAUUUUCUCAAUCUUUAAGGUUACUGAUACUAGAAUCUUGAAAAAAGAGAGAAAAUAGCUAGGGAUGUGAGACAAACAAGACCGAAUUAAGGUUAUCCUCCUUCCUAAAGACAAGAGAGCCUUCUUCUACCCAUCCGACCUCCUCAAAAUUCUAUCAACCAUUGGAACCAAAAGAAUUAGCUUGAGGUUUUGUAGAAUUUCUAGAGAAGCUUUAGAGAAGAAAAUGGUAUCCACUGCAAAUUAUAAAAGAGACACUCUAGUCCUAUCCCUACCAACUAUGAAACUCUCAAAUGGACCCCUUUCCUCCUUUCUCGUUAUCAUCCUACUAAGGAUAUCCACUAUAAGGGUAAAAAGGAAAGGAGAAAGAGGGUCUCCUUGUUUUAAUCAUCUAGUGGCCUUAACCCAACCUUUGAUACUUCAAUUUACUAAGAUUGCAAAACUCAUUGAAGACGCUUCCCUCGUCUAGGAUGUCCAUUUUGUGCUAAAACCUUUCCUUUUUCAGCACAUGGUCCAAAAAUCCCCAAUCCACAUGGUUGUAGGUCUUUUCAAAUUCAAUUUUGAAGACCACCCCAUCCCUUUCCCCCCAAACUUCCUUUUCUCAUCCACCACUUCAUUUGCAAUCAAAACCGCAUCUAGAGUUUGUCUCCCUUCAACGAAGGCUCGUUGAGAUAGAAAAAUUGUUUCAUUAAGCACUCUUCUUAAGCGCCUUGACAAGGCCUUAGCUAUAAUCUUAUAUAAACUUGUAACCAAGUUAAUAUGUCUAAAAUUUGAAAUUUUGGUUGUUUGACUGUUUUUUUUUGGCACAAGGGUAGUGAAACUUGUAACCAAGUCACAUUGGUGCUUUGAUUUAUUACCUCAUUAUCGUGGAACUCCACAAACACUCUUAAAAGGUCAUUUUUUAUCACAUUCCGUCACUUUUGAUGUACCGCAGUAGUAAACCAAGGAUCUUCCCCUUGUUUAGUUGGAACACCGCAAGGUGUACCUCCUCUUCAGAGAAAGGACGGUCUAGCCAAGCAACACUCUCUCCAAAAAUGGGUGACCACUUGAGGGUUUGUUGUAGAGCUUUUUGAAAAAAUUCAAUAUCUCUUCUGAUAUAUUUUCAAUGUUGUCUAAUUUUACUCCCUUUGCAGACACCAAGGAAUUUAUGAAUUUCCUUUUUUCGCCUCCCAUUGGCCACUCUAUGAAAGAGCUUAUAGUUGCAAUCUCCUUCUUUGAUCCAUUUAACCCUAGAUUUUUGCCUCCAAUGAACUUCUACCUUUAACAAUAAAUCUUCCAGAUCCCGCUUUCUUAAGGCUCUCAAAAUGGAGAGAUCAAGAGUCAAGUUCCUUUCUUGGUCAGUUACAUCAAUCCUACCAAUGUUUAAAAGAUAUUAUUCUUUCUCUCUUACAUCUCCAAGCGCCUUUCCAUUCCACUCCUUCAACUUAAAUUUAACAAACUUUAGUUUUCUCAUAAAUCUAUGAUCUUCCCAACCAUCACCCUAACACUCCUGCCACCAUCACCUAAAUCUCUCCUUAAAAUCAAGGUGGAGCAGCCACGUAUUCUCAAAUCUAAAAGGAGUUGAGCCCACUUAAAAGGGUUUGUGUCUAGGCUAAUUGGGCUUAUGAUUUGAUGACCAUCUAGGAAGUGCUUCUUGAAGACUUUGAGGGAAGAAAAGAUCCCAUUUGUUUGAGAACAAGAAUCUAUCCAACCUUUUACAAAUAGGAGAAGCUUGCAUAUUUGAGCAAGUAAAAGUUGUGUUUCUAAGAGGGGGAUCUAUUAGCCCACUUUCUUUUAUAAACUCAUCAAAACACCUCAUGCUAGAAGUUAACCUAAAAACACACAUUUUCUUCAAAAUUCUUCUUAUAACAUUGAAGUCCCCAUCCACACACCACUUCGGAUAAGUUAGACCAAAGAGGUCUUGAAGCUCCACCCAAAGAUCCUUACUCAAAUUAGAAUUAUUUGGAUUAUAAACUAGAGUUAACCAAAAAGAACCUUCUUCCUCAAAGCACAACUUAAAAGUUAUUGAAAAGGAUUCUAAAACCAUCUUUGAACACUUGAAUUUACUCAAGUCCCAAAUAAUCACAAUACCUCUUUAGGCCCCACAAGCUGGAAGAGUAGCCCACUCCUUAGUUCUAGCAUUCCAUACAUUGCCCACAAACCUCCUAUCGCAAGGCUCCCUCUUUAUUUCUUAGAGCAUGACAGUGUCGAGGUUUACAGAGUUGAAACCCUUUUAUUGUCCUUCUUUUCUUCCUAGAUCCCAACCCUUUAAUAUUCCAGUUUAUGAUUCGUAUAAACCAAUGAGAGCCCUUUAGUUUCCAAAUCUAACCUAAUAAACCCCAUUAGGUCCGCAUAAAGGCUUAUUCUUCCUUCUAGAAUAAACCUUUACAAAAGGACAAUCACUGCUUUUGUCCUCAGAGAGCCCCACUUUUCAUUACCUUUGACAAGUAGGAUUCCCAUAGACUCUAAAACUGAAUGUAGCUUGACCAUUUUACUAGGUGAAAGAUCCUCUACUUGAAAACCUUCCAUUAAAGAGGACUCUAGGUCUCAGGAAUGACCACUCCCUGAUAAAAAAUGCUCACUAGGGCUGUAGAGUGGUGUCUCAAGAAAAGAACGAUCGUUUAACUCCUGAUUAUUGACCACUAUAGGGACGUCCAUACCAACAACAAUGGGAAUGCCAACAUUAGGGACAGAUUUAGCACCAGGUAAGUUCUUUUGGUUUACCGUUUGUAUGAUAAGGCUAGAAUCCAUAGGAUUAACCAACAAAGGUUGAUGCUGAAUAGAGUGAGAAGCAAAAAAGGAAAAGAGAGCGAGAAGAUUUGAAUCAAAAGCCCCAUCUAAGGAAAGUUCCUUAAUGAAGGUUCUGGAGUUAGAAGGACAUACCUGACUUGGCAAACCAUAAGGCAGGGAACCCUCGCCUCUCAGAGUCCCUUUGAAUGCUCAGGGGGCUCUCUGCCCUUCCUCGAACCCAACCUGUGUCCACCUGUUAAGGUCUUCUCCUCUAUUGAAGGCUUUUGGAAGUUUGGAUUGCUUUUCCUUGCCAUAGUCAAAAGUUUGAAAUACGGAGGCCAACUCUUUGCUUGCCUUCUCGCGUCACCUAGAGUAGUCCUUUGAGUAGGCUGCUCUUGUGCAUCGACAAUAUAUUGAACCUUUGCAGAGCAAGCCUCUGUUCCUUGGUAAUUUGGGGAUGAAGACUCCAAAGGGCCUCCCCGAAAGACUCACAAAGGGCCCUUACUACUGUGUGACUGUGCUCACAUCUCUUGAAGAAGAAAAAGGUCCAGAACUACAACAUCUAUUUGGGCUUCCUCCAUACUGGGCCAAAGACUGAGUGGGCCUUGAACUUCCUCCACUACUUGGGUUGCUUUCACGUGCUAGUGGGCUUACUCUUUCUUUCCCCAAAUUGGGCUUGCCCCCUCUUUCAUUAAGGGCUUGCACCUUCUUUCCUUGAAAUGGGCUUCCCAAAAGUUGGGCCAAGGGCCUUUGGUUCAGUUACUUGGGCUUCAGAAGACUUAAGGCUCUUUUCCUCAACUAGGCCCCCCCUUUUCUCUUUGUGGGCUUUAUAACUUUUUGGACAGAAAAGGGCCGCCUUUCCACUAAUAGUGUCUCCUUCCUUGGUUGUGCUUUCCUUCCUUGAGCCUUUGUUUGACCCAAAAUUUGAAGAGGAAACAGGAGCCUGUGGGAGACAACCAUCACCAGGAUUCAAACUAGUGUCGCCACCUGUCCUUGUAAUAGGACUUUGCCUCCUGUUGCAGUCACUUCUCACUGCACUAUCCUUCCAACCACAGUACUCAUCUUCUUCCUCCCCAACGACUGAGACCGGGACUGUGAAGCUCCAUGCCCCAUCUAUCACUUCUAAGAACGCCGGUAGCACAACAUUGGCUUUCAUCUCCACCUUCAACUUGAUCUUUGAUAGAUCAAUUAAUUUUAAGGACUGUCGAUCAAUUUCUGUUACAACCCCCCAAUGAUUUGACAAAUGAUGAAGAUGAAUUUCCGAUUGUAAGUGGAAAGGAAGACCUCGCAACUCUAUCCAUCCUCACUUAAAUUUUCCGAGUAUCAACAUGUUUUCCUCUGGCAACCACCUUCUUAACGAAAUCACAACACCUCCCUUCAGUGAAACUGUUGCUACUCCUUUAAGCCAAAGAGCACUUCCAACGGAAUCCACAAAUAAUAAUCCUUUGAAGAACGAUAUUGGUGUAACAGACACCAUACCUUUCAAACAAAGAACUCUUGCAAUAGCCCUUCCAACAUCUGACCAAUCCUCUAUGUCGUUCUUGCUUUCGCAAAUCACAGUUCUAGCCCAUUUUUCCAUUGGAACUAAAGCACCUUGAUGAGUCCUUGACUUUCCCCUGAACUUCUUGAUGAAACCCAAAGGGCUCUCUAAAAUGACUGCCUUCUUUAGUUGCUCCAAAAACCAAAUAAUCUCUUCAUUAUCGAAAACCACGGUGAAAACAGCACCUCAACUUCUUUCUGUGAUUGAAAUCCACUUCCCCCCAUGAGUGCAUUCGAAACUGAUUUGAAAACUCUUACUCUCCAACACGCAAAACCUUCUCUCCAGGUUUUCUUGGCAAGACUCAUCUUGAAUCCGGACAAUUAUAUACAAGUGAAAUAAUUCUUUCGCAUCCACUCCGGCUUUGAUAGGACUAAUGUUCCAGCAGGCAAUAUCCUUUUGGAAGUCUGCUGUUGUAACAAGUUCAGUCACAGGUGGUGAGGGGCCAGAAGGAGGACAUGAAACAAAGGAAGGCUGGCGUUUAGAUUAUCUGAUAUGUUGUUGGUUGGUCUUCCACAUGGAUAUUUUGCUUUUUCAUGAGAACUUACUGUGCAGCAGAACUCAUUUAUCAAUAGGGGUACAGUAUUUGUUCUGUUGGUCACAGGUAAUGAUGAUAUGAUAGUCUAUUGGAUUGUAAGCCACUUAUUCUACUUGAUGAAGCAGUUAUCUUUAUGCUGGACUUGUAUCUGCUUUCUGAUACCUGUAUGGGCUGCCUUUCUUUAUCUUAUAACAUUUUCUGGCAAGGUUCUGUAAGCUUUCCUUCAUUAAUUAGGCCUGAUUAGCUUUGAAAAGUGUGCAUUCUCAUAGUUUUUUUUUUAAUAUUCUCUUUGUACAGGUUGCUUAUACAGUAUAAUAUUUUGUUUUCUUUCUAUAUAUGGGAUAUAAUAUUGUUCUGUACUUACUAUGUGAAUUACCUUUCGAAUGUUUGCUUCUUUCUUAUGGAGUUCUAGUUAGUAAAUAUAUUCUGAAUUGUUAUUAUGGAUUGUAGACUAACCUUAAUUGUGACCCAGAUUGCUAAGCUUCAGUUAUCAGACUCCGAACACUCUGAGUUAAAAUGGGCUGAGGGCUUUAAUAUUGGCACCGUCAUUGAAGGAAAGAUUCAUGAUGCAAAAGAUUUUGGAGUUGUCAUCAGCUUUGAGAAGUAUAAUGAUGUUUUUGGUUUUAUCACACACUAUCAAUGUAUGUUCUCUUAUUCAAAACCAUCUCUGUUCAUUGAUCAAUUAUUACAUUUCAGCCAAUAAUCUUCAGUGCAAUUUAUUUAUUACAGUAACGGCGGAAAGAGGUUCCACAGUUCAAGCUGUCGUUCUUGAUGUUGCCAAGACAGAACGCCUUGUGGAUUUAUCUUUAAAGCCAGAGUUUCUUGAUAGACACAAGGAAGACAGUUCUAACAGCCAGGCUGGCAAAAAGGUGGUCCUCAAAUUGAUUCUUUUAGGGCUGUCUUUAAGAUACCAUCACUCGUUAUCCACUUAUAUUUACUUUUGUUUGUUUGCCCAUCAUGAUAUAUAUGAACAGAAGGGAUGAAAUUAGCCAUGCCAUGGCUGUAUGUUCUGUAACCUCUUUUUUGUUGCAAGGGCUUUUCUGUUCUUAUGUAACCAUACAAAGUUCUUAGGAAAAAUAACAGUUUUGCUCUCUCCUACGUUGUCUGACAUUUUAUCUUCUGACUGGUAGUUUACCAUUUCGAUUUGUGGUGUGGCUUAGUCAUUUCUUGUUAUGACUUCAUUUUUUAUGUUUACUGAUGAAGAUUUUAAGUCUUGCUUUUUGCAUGCUUGUGGUUUUUGUGCUCAACAUGUUCAAUCCUUUGUUCCAGAAACGCAGAAGAGAAGCAUACAAGGAGUUGCAACCACAUCAAACUGUAAAUGCAAUUGUGGAAAUUGUGAAAGAAAAUUACUUGGCAAGUCUUUGUUAUUUAAUUUGAUAAUAGCUUGGUGUCAGUUAUUUAUUCAAUACCUCAAACUCAUUCCACCAUGAUUUGAAUUGUUGUCCAAAGCAGGUUCUUUCAUUGCCAGAGUAUAACUAUGCUAUAGGAUAUGCCUCUGUGUCUGACUACAACACACAAAAGUUUGCUCAGAAACAAUUUCUUCAUGGGCAAAGGUAAGCCAUUCUUUCAAGUAGUUAGUCUCAUUUGAUUGGUUCAAGCAUAUUAAAAUUUUAUGGCAUCAGUGUCCUUGAUAGAAAUGACUUUUUCCCUAGCUUUUGCAUUAUGUUGCCCUGCUUUCAAAAAGCAGUUUGUUAUUGGCCUUAACAGUUGUUUUCCAUAUCUAUAGCUGGCAAGUUGCUAUAAUUUUGAAUAUAUUAGAAAUGAGUUUGCAAGCUGAUAUUGUUAAUGUGGUGCAGUGUCAUUGCUAGUGUUAUGGCACUUCCAAGCCCCUCAACAGUUGGAAGGUUGCUUUUGGUUCUUAAAUCUGUUAGUGAGGCUACAGAGACUUCCAGUUCAAAAAGGGCCAAAAAGAAAUCCAGCUAUAAUGUGGGAUCUCUGGUUCAAGCAGAGGUAGAUAAUUUUGAAUUUGUAUGCAGUUAUUAUCUUUGCAUUUUGGUAUUGGAAUUUGAAAUGAUAUUGAACCACUAAAUCUUUAAUUUCUGCUUUCCAGAUUACUGAAAUAAAGCCUCUUGAGUUAAGGUUGAAAUUUGGAAUUGGUUUCCAUGGGAGGGUUCAUAUAACAGAGGUAAGAAUUUUCUUGAAUGAUUUUGACUUGAUAGGUUAAAAAUAGUGAUUUUGUGGUUUAUCAUUUGUAUGUUUUUCUUUGUUUAUGCCGCAUUUGUAGAAAUGUAUUUACCUAAUCAUUGGAUUUUAUGCAAGUUUAACUUGUCUUGUCAGCAGGUAUGUGAUGAAAAUGUUAUUGAGAAUCCCUUUAGUAACUUUAGGAUUGGGCAAACAGUGUCUGCAAGAAUUGUUGCAAAAGCCAAUAAAUCAGAAAAUAAUGGUAAAAACCACCAAUGGGAGCUGUCCAUCAAACCAGAGAUGCUUACAGGUAAAAGCAUAUGAAGCGAUGUUUUCUUAUUGUGUCUGACUUGAAUCCUUCACAUUCUUGAUUUCUUGUUUAAUGAAUUCAUUCUCUCUAAAUUUUUAACUCUCAGCUGAACUAAUCAUUAUUUUAAAUGGUUAAGUUUGGAUGCAAACUCUUUUGGCCGUUUUUUCCAUCUAGGGCAUAUCUGAUUUAAACUGUAGUGAUUGAUAAAAAAAAGGUCUCAUGUAACAUGAAGUAGUCAACCCAUCCAAUGAAAUUUUUUUAGUUUUAUUUAUUUAUUUAUUUUUAUUUGGUGGGAAAGCAGGAAGACAUUCUAAAUCCAGCACUAUAAAAUCUGGAACUUUUAUUGGUGUUAACUUGGGAGGGACUGGUAACAGACACAAAACCACCUGAAUGCUUUCUAGUAGUCUAUGCAUGAUGCAGAAAUGCCUGAAAUUACCAGAAACUGCCAUCUUCUAAUCAAUUUUUUGCCACUGUCAUUUAUCCAUUGCUGCUUCCUCUAUAUUGACUUUAAUUCAUCCAAACUGUCUACAACCUUUGCUUUCGUGUGAUUCAUUUCUGCAGAAAGUAACCUACAACUGUCUCUUUGUCUGUUAAUGUUUCCACAAGCUAGGACAUUGUCAUAUCUGCUAUUUCUUUGCCCUUGUUAAUUUGAGAUCAGCAUUGUAAUUUCUUUACAGGUUCCAUUGAAGUUGAGAACAAGCUUGUGGAUGCAGAAUUCAGGAUUUCAACUGGACAACGGGUAACUGGUUAUGUGUAUAAAGUGGAAAAUGAAUGGAUCUGGUUAACGAUAUCGCGUCAUAUCAAGGCUCAGCUAUUUCUACUUGACACUUCAUGUGAACCUAAUGAACUUCAAGAAUUCCAGAAGCGCUUUGAAGUGGGAAAAGCUGUUUCUGGUUAUGUUUUAAGUGCCAAUAAGGAGAAAAAGCUAUUGCGCAUGGUGCUACAUCAGUUCUCCGUCUCUAAUGGAACACUUGAUGGCAAAGUUUUAAAUAUUGAUAAUCAACACUGCAACCCUCCUAUUGAGAACUUGAUUCCCCAUAUUCAUAAAGGAGAUACUCUCGGUGGUAGAAUUUCCAAAAUACUUCCAGGUGUUGGUGGAUUGCUUGUCCAAAUUGGUCCUCAUCUGUAUGGUAAGGUUCAUUUUACUGAACUUAAGGACUCUUGGGUGUCUGACCCAUUGUCCGGUUAUCAUGAAGGGCAGUUUGUAAAAUGCAAGGUCCUGGAAAUAGGCCAUUCAGAGAAGGGUACUGUCCAUGUUGACUUAUCACUAUGGUCAUCCUUAAAUGGCAUGCAUUCACCUAACAGCCGCGUAGAAAAGAUAGACAAUCUUCAUUCUGAUAUGCUUGUGCAGGUAAACAUGCUUUGAUGCUUUUCUCAAUUUUCACGGUGCAUUUUGCUUUCCAUCUUUAGAGAUAUAUUUAAAAAAAAAUUAUUUAAUAGUCAUAAACAAUAAAAUACAGUAGUGUAAAUAUCAUUUUCUAUGCAAGUGCAAACUAUGGGUCAAGCUAAAAUUUUCAUCAUAUAUGUGCAAAUUAUUUUCCAUUAUUUUAGUGGUGACACCCCGUGCCAUUUCCAAUUGCUUGCUCCAUUAUUGCCUUGCACAUGCUCCGUGCUCCAGCUUUGAUUCUCACCAUCAAUAAAUGAAUGUGUUGUGGCUUACUUCAUGACCAUAAUGAAUGAAUCUUUUCAAUCAAAGCAGGAGCAUCUUCCAUUUAUUCAUAUGUAAACCACACUUGAAUUAAUAUCCAGAUCUACAAAAAACUCCUCCCCGUGGUUCCAUAAAUGGGAUCCCAUUCCAUUGCAGCAGCUAGCAGGGCCAGCUUUGCUUGGUUCUCUAAUGGGCUUGCUCCCUGUGAGUGUGCCCCCCAUAAGGUACAAGGGUAAGCCUUCCGUGAUAGGGGUGAAUUCUUGUGCAAAUCAUGUGUAAGCUAAAAUUUGUUUCUUGAGUAAAGGGAUAUCUGACAAUAAAAAUAUCCCAACUUUUGCAUGACAGCAAUCCUGCACAUUAUGUAGUCACUACACUGUAUAAAUUCAUAACCACCAGUACUACUACCAUUGCCACUACAACUAGCUUUGUUUACUGUCUAGUGACUGGUGAAAUGUGUUUCUCCAGGAUUUUUGCUUAUUAUUAUCUAAUUUGUUUAUCUUUGCAACAAUUACUACUGCUUGUAGUAGUAGUUUGUUAACGACUGGUGACAUUUAUUUUUUCUUCAGGAUAUCUACUGAUCAUAUUAUUUGUUUAUCUUUCUCUUGGACUUGAUUAGGGAUAUGUUAAGAAUGUUACCUCAAAAGGAUGUUUUAUUUUGCUUUCCCGGAAGCUUGAUGCUAGAAUCCUCCUUGCAAAUUUAUCUGAUGGAUAUGUUGAAAAACCUGAAAGAGAAUUUCCUAUUGGAAAACUUGUAAGCGGAAGGUAAGUAGGGUUUUUUACCAGUCGGACAAGCAUUUAAUAUUUAAUAGUUGACAGUUAUCACCAUGUAGUGCUGAGAAACUUAAGUGCAGGGUGUUAUCUGUGGAGCCUUUGUCUCGGCGAGUUGAAGUCACCCUCAAGACGUCAAGUGCAACUAGUGUGCAAAAAUCUGAAGUAAAUGAUUUUAGUAGCAUCCUUGUUGGAGAUAUUAUUUUUGGCACGAUUAAGAGGGUUGAGUCAUAUGGUUUAUUUAUAACCAUUGAUGACACAAACAUGGUGAGUUAUUAAGUACGUUGCAAAUUUAGUACACCAUAACCCACCAUUAGUUUAUGUUAAGACUGACCUCUAUAAAUGAAUUUUGUGGACAUCUUGCAAUUUUUAAUACGUAGUGCGGAUAGUUUAUUGAAACUCAAUGCUCAAACAAUAUUUUAAUGGUGUUUUUUUUUUUCCAGGUUGGGUUGUGCCAUAUUUCAGAGCUUUCAGAUGAUCAUAUUAGCAACAUUGAGACUAAAUAUAAAGCUGGGGAGAGAGUUGCAGCAAAGAUCUUAAAGGUAAAUAUUUUUCUUGUACAAAAAGUGCUUGCUCAUCAUUUGAAUCAGUUAUGUGAAUGGUGCAUUGUGUUUGGUAAUUCUUUCUUUAAGAUCAUGCCAAUUAUUGAUUAAUCUUUUAUUGGCACCAUAUUUCUAAUUUUUCAACCCAUCUGGACAGGUGGAUGAGGAAAGGCACCGGAUUUCUCUUGGAAUGAAGAAUUCAUAUAUUAAAGAAACAACCCAAAAUAAUGGUUUUGUUGAUGACACUCAAUUGUCAACAUUUCUGGAAAACAACUCUCGUGAAAUCCAAAAUUUGGAUGUUGAAUAUGAAGACGAAGAGUACCCAGUUCUUUCACAAGUGGAGUCAAGGGCCUCAAUUCUUCCACUUGAGGUUGAUCUUGAUGAUGUAAAUCACUCCAAUUUGGAUGAUGCAGUUGGUCAAAAUCAUAUUUAUACUAACGAGACAAACACCAUAGAUGAGAAAAGCAAGAGACGGGCCAAGAAAAAAGCCAAGGAAGAAAAGUAAUUUUGAUUCUACCUGUUUGACAAUCCCAUCAUUUUGGGGCUACUGUAUAGAAUUUUACUUUUGUACUAAUCUCUUCACUGUCCUCCACAGGGAGCAAGAAAUUAGGGCUGCUGAGGAACGACUAAUGCUGAAUGAUGUGCCAAGAACUGCCGAUGAGUUUGAAAAGCUGGUUAGAGGUUCCCCUAAUAGCAGCUUUCUAUGGAUAAAAUACAUGGCUUUGAUGCUGUCUUUGGCUGAUAUUGAGAAAGCUCGCUCAAUCGCUGAAAGGUAUUAGUUUUUUGCUGUAUUAUUGAUUAGCUAAAAGCAGAGUUUUCCAAAAAAGAUUUAAAACUUAAAAAACUAAAUUUGUGCAGUGGGCUUAUGCAAGAGUUUUGUAUGGUGGGCUUAUGCAUGUUUCUGUAUUCUUUUUUUUGGAAGGACAGUGGUUUUUUUAAUAUAUAUUCUUGUAUGGAUAGCAAAGUUUUAUUUAAGAAUAAGAAGACAAAUAGUUGCUCAAACUUGAAAUCUAAUUCACUUCAGAUAUUUUAUUACUGAAAAAAGGGAAGAGGAUUUCUCAAUGGAACACCUUUAUGCAUAAAAUGAAACUCAUACAAUAAGGAAAAAAAAAUGUUUUGGGUCUGUAUCUCAUUAGUUUUUAUUCGCCAUUGUUGAGUUCUCUUCUUCUUUCUUUGUUCUAUGGGUUCAGUUUUUAAUGGGUAAUUAUUUUCUCAACCUUGAGAAAAUUGAACUGAAAUUAUAACAAUUGACACUGAUAAUUAUGGGUUUUAUGUAUUUCACUUCUUGUUUAUGUUUUGAAGGGCUUUGAGAACAAUAAAUAUCAGGGAAGAGUCUGAGAAGUUGAAUAUUUGGAUGGCGUAUUUUAAUUUAGAAAAUGAAUAUGGGAAUCCUCCAGAGGUAUUUUUUCUUUGUGUGAUUUUCACUGUAAUUACAUUAUCAGUUAAAUAGUUUCAUAUCUCUCUGUCUCUCUCUCUAGGAAGCUGUUGUGAAGGUAUUUCAAAGAGCAUUGCAGUAUUGUGAUCCUAAAAAGGUGCAUCUAGCACUCUUAGGCAUGUAUGAAAGGACUGAGCAACAUAAGUUAGCAGACGAGCUUCUUGAGAAAAUGACCAAGAAGUUCAAGCAUUCAUGCAAAGUAUGUUAUUUUUCUAAAUUUUGUUUUUGUUUCAGUUAGAUGUCAACGUGUUGAGUUUUUCACGUUUUUAUGUAAUUUUAGGUUUGGUUAAGAAGGGUGCAGAAUGUCUUGAAGCAGCACCAAGAUGGAGUUCAACCUGUUAUAAAUCGGGCUCUUUUAUGUCUUCCCCGCCAUAAGCAUAUUAAAUUCAUCUCACAGACUGCUAUCCUUGAAUUCAAAUCAGGGGUUCCUGAUAGAGGACGAUCCAUGUUUGAAGGGAUGCUGCGGGAGUACCCGAAGAGAACAGACUUGUGGAGUGUCUACCUUGAUCAAGUAAAAAUCCCCUUCUCUAGUAUAAUCUCCUUCCCUUUUUGCUGUAAUAAAGAUUACGAUUCUCCCUCUUUACAGGAAAUUCGACUUGGAGAUAUUGACAUUAUUCGUGCACUAUUUGAGAGGGCAAUUAACCUCAGCCUUGAACCCAGAAAAAUGAAGGUGUGUUGGAUUUUGCUCUCUUAGUCUUCUGUUUCCUUUAUUUAUUAAUUUUUUUUGCAAGAUACUUGAAUUGUUACAUUUGCUUUUGACGUCUGGUUUUGCAGUUCUUAUUCAAGAAGUACCUCGAGUAUGAGAAGUCUCAGGGUGAUGAGGAACGGAUUGAAUCUGUAAAGAGGAAGGCAAUGGAGUAUGCCAACAGCACACUUGCUUAACACCGAUCUUCUUUGUUUCAGCCUAGUUUCCCAUUUCCACUGUUUGCUGGAAUGUAUGCAUGGUUGAGUGACUUGGUAUUCAUGUACCAUAGUUUUUUUGACCAUUAGUGCUAAAUUUUGUUUAUGUUUAUGUGUUUUCAUUUUUUUGGCAUUAAGUCCAAUUAAAAAAAUCCUAUUUAAGAGUUGAGAGCUAAAUGUAGAAUGGUUGGAUGUUACAUAAAGUUGUUUAAAAGUAUCUUUUUGCUAUCAAUUGUGAAUGUUGGGUCUGCUGUAUCUAAGUACAUACUACUUCGUUUUAAAGAUAAAAGAAGGCAAAGAGACAACCAGGAAUUGGGGAAGACUCAGCCUCCAGUUGUUUAAAUUUCCAUGCCAUGGAUGAUGGAUCCAUGGUGAUGAUAGAGAAUUCUACAGUAGUUCAAAAAUGACCAAGGAAGUUCAAGCAUUCUUUGAUUUAAUGUUAUUGGAUAAUUGUUGAGCAGUGGAAUACUCUAGAUCUCUCCCUUUUUAAACUUCCCAACAAUAGCACCAAAGGGAUUGUAAGUUCCGGUUUCUAAUGUGAUUUUCUUUACAUGAUUUUUCUUGUAAUUGAACUUACAAUUCUGACUUCAAGGUGUGUUAGCUUUUGCAUUUCUGUCGGUCUAGGUGUACUAUUUUUCUCAACACCCCAGUUUUUGGGAAUUGUUCUUUCCAACUUAAAAAAAAAAAUGUUUUUGAUAAAAUUUUAAUUAAUAAUAGUUAGGUUUUUUUUUUUUUGAUUAAAAAACGUAAGUUGUUUUUAGGUGUUUUAUGUAGUAUGGUAUUUAAAAAAAUAUUUUGAAAAUUUUAUAUAGUUCUUUUAUGAAAAAUGAAUCCAAAAAAUUAAUUUUUAAUUUUGUUAUUAAUUUUUACAGGUGAGAUCUCACAAAAAAAAUUAAUUUUUAUCUGUACGAGACCGACUGAUACUCAUAUUUAUGGUAUGGUUUUUGCCCAUCUCAGCAGUGCCAAAAAUCUUGAAUGCCAUAUGAUGCCCAUUACAUACAUUUAUAGGAAUGAACGAAUUUGGUGUCCAAGCAAUGAAACAGUCUUACAUUAAUCUUUUUAAACAGUUAUAUUGGUUUAUCAUAAGAGAUUUGGAUGAAUGAAUCAAAAUAACUAGACUCGUAAAGAUAACCUUCCUUCAACCUUGUUGAAAAAUGAUCUUUUUUUUUAUUUGCUUCCCACGACAUCAUCUUCCCAAUUUUUUAUUGUUAUCGUAUUCAUUUCACUAUUUCUUAAUAAUACAUUAGUCUUUUUAUUUCAUUUUAUUUUUACUGUGGUUGAUUUCUUAUUAAGGAUGUUCAUCUGAAUUGCUUGAUAAAAAACUAAUUAAGUUUUAAGUUUAUAAUAACUUGAAUUGUGUGGUUAUGUUUUAUUUUUAUUUUUAAAAAAAAGACUUAAAUAAGGUUAAACUUUCAUUUUAUCUACAAAUUUUAAUUAGAAUGUUCAUCUAUUUAAUCUCAUCUUUAGAAUCCAAUAACAACUCAAUUACAAAAAACCCCGAUAAAAAGCAACCUUAAGAAACUCCUGCCAAAAUCCCAACAAAACAAAAACAAAAGUCUUCAACAAAAAAUAACUAUAAAAAACUCGUAACUAAAAACAAUUAUAAAAGACCCUAACAAAAAUAAAUGCAAAAAAUAUCAACUAGAAGUAAUUACAAAAUAACCCCAAUAAAAAGCUAUGAUAAAAAACCAAAACAAAAAACAAUUGUAAAAAAUUGUAAUAAAAAACAAUUAUAGAAGCGAAAGAUGGAGAAUACAAUCAUCUUAAAGAAAAAGGAAAAAUAGAAGAACUCUUGCAAUUGGUCUAUAUAUCUUAUAAAGAGAGCUAAGUAUAAAAAAAAUUUGUAAAGAAUAAUCAAGAGAGGCCAUUUUUCCAAUUUCGAGACUAUUUCGGGUCUUUAACCAAAUGUCUCUUAAUUGUUGGGCUUACACCCAGCCUUGGGCUUCUUUACAGCCUGCCCCAAUUCCGGCCCAAAGGGGAGCCUGGACUUAGAACCCUGACCCAGUGGCUAGGUGUGGCCCGGCCCCUUCACACGCCAAGGUGGCAUCAACAGAAAUAAAUAAGAACAUGUCUUCCACAUCCGAUUUAACCGCACAAUUUCUUGGCCACAUAAUUUUGUGAAUUUUGCUUCAGAUUUCAAGCGUUCAUGUAUUCUUUAAAGGUUGAAUGUGGGGCCUUUGAGUUCUGAUUCUUCUGAAGAACCAAAGCCAUUAAAUACUGAAAUGUGAAAUGGAAGGGAUAAAAAUUGACUUUCACCAACACCCAUUAAUACACUACAUUCAUUUCAAAAGAAGGCAGUUCAGUUUUGACGAUCCAACUUUGAUGAAAUCCUUAAAAUGUCCAGAAAAGAAACAAAAAUACGAAAGGAAACAAAAAAACAUAGACACUUGAGCCAAACCUUAAAUUCUAAGUUCUUAGAUACAACCAGCUUCUAUGGAAUGGAUAAAACUUGGUUUAAAGCAUCCAAAAGCAAAGGGAAAGCUGUUAGCUGUGGAAAAUGGCCUUGUGUUUCCAGUAUCUUAACCGUAGCAUCGUCACCAAGGUUUUCCUUCAUGUAGCAUGCGAUGAAUGUUGGAGCAACAAUAUCUUCUCUGGAUUGGAUAAUGGUGCAAGGCACUUUAACUUGUGGUAGAACGAGUCUUAGGUCACUCAGGAAGACAGUUUUAGCGACACUAAGCACUAUCUCCGGUUUCAUCCUCCCCAAGCUGUACUCGAACUCAGCUAUGGCUGCAGAGUUGUUGAUGCCCACUGCCAUGGGAACAAAAUUUUGAACCCAAACUGGGAAAUUUUCAUUUAUUGCUUCGAAGAUUUUGUCGAUAUCUGAUCUCUCAAAUCCCCCAUAAUAUCCUUCUGCAUUUAAGUACCUACAAACAAUUGGGAAGGUAUUAGAAUUGGAACUUUUGAGCUUUUAACAACAAACAAAAUGACGGAGAUGAAGGUGAUUCAUGGAGUAGGAGAAAAAUAAAUAUGUAUGUACAUGGAUACAGCAGCUAAGAAACAUCUAAGUUUUGGUCAGACCUUGGAGAGCCACCUAGGAGGAUAAGGUGUUCAAAGAGAUCCGGUCUCUUUGUUGCAGCUAUGCAUCCAAUCAUGGCUGACAUGGAAUGACCCAGAUAGAUGGUCUUCUUCACAUUGAGCUGAUCAAGGAGGCAUACCAAGUCUUGUGCGUAGGAAUCGAAAUUUGAGUACUUUUUUGGAUCAUAAAGGUUGGGAUUUACGAAGAUUAGAUCAAAAACCACCACCUUGAAGUAGCAUGCAAGGUAAGGGAUGAGGUAGUGCCAAACAGACUGGUCAAAGCCAAACCCAUGAGAUAGAACUAAGGUUCGGGUGCCAUUUCCAUGAACAGUUGCAUUUAGAGCUUCGAUGAUACCUCCUCCACUCUCACUCAGCAUAUCCAUAUUUCUGCCAACCAGUGCGAAAAUGGAGCGAAGGAUGAGGAACUAAAGAUUUGCGUAGAAUUUAGAUAUGUUCAACUUCAAUGCCUUGGUUUACUUAUAUAGACAUAGAACAACCAUUUUUUUUUUAAUAUUUGAAUGGUUUAGUAUUCAUGUACUUGGCAUAUUUCUAUGUAUCCUCAUUGCUAAGUAUUAUUUAUUUAUUUUGUAAACAUCAUCCUAAGAAUACCUUACAACUCAUUGAAGACACGAGAAUUAAUGUAGAAAGUUGGGAUGUUACAGAAAGUUGUGAAAAGAAGUAAUGGGUAUCCUCUUCUGUCAUUGUCAAAAAUUGGCCUCAAAGAUCUUUCCUACUGCCCAGGAAAAGACAACUCAACGUAAUUGCUAGCAGUGGGCUGCCGUAGACCCAUUUUCUCAAAGCUAUAGGUACAUCAAGAAGCUACAUAUAACUUCAUUUUAACUCAUUGGUUCUCGGAAGUACUAUAAAUAUAAAAAAAUUAAAAAAGUUUUUUAAAAAAACAAAUAUUACUAAAAUUAAUUAAAAACUUAUUUUUAUAUAUCUGAGCUUAAAUAAGUAAAAUAAGUUUUAAAUAGCAUAUAGAAAUAAUUGAUAAACUUUAAAUAUAUUUUAUAUUUUUUUCUUUUUUUUCUUUUUUUUCACACGUUUUUCAGGAACUAAAUAUAACCUUAGAGUUACUGGUUAAUGGAACUUAACCAAACAAUGUAAGCACUCAGAGAAAAUACUUUGAAAAGAGAUUGGAUCAGUUGUAGUGAAGUGAAUUUUACAUCUUUAAUCCUAACGCCAACUGCUAAAGAUGAGAUUUUGCUGUGACCACGCAUGCAUGCAUCUGGGAGCCCAACACUAUAAAUGCAACCCAACAAACUUGUCGACCCAGAGUUUAAUGGUGGUGUAAACUUUUUGAAUUGAAUGAGGGUGUCAGUUGGGGAGUGCCUUUCUCUCCUGCACUAUCAUAAUUAAUAUUUUGGUUACGUGAAAAGCCUUAGACAGCUUUGCAUUCAUUGCUAGGUGGUUCCAAGAACCAUUACCUCUUCCACAACUUGUGUGUUCCAUGCUUCUUUGUACUCUUUUUGUCUCUUCCACGAGUUCAAAAGUUCUUAAGUUGCAACCACAGCCAUGGGUUGACCAAGUAAAUACUAAACCAUCAAUUUACUCUUAAAACUUAAAUUACGAAAUAAUGGAGGUGAAAUCUGAACUUAUGACCCAAAAUCAAAGGUCCCAUAUUAUGACUUGGGUUAAAGUCCUAAUACGCUUCAAUCCAACCCUCAGAUCAGGAUUUCUCUUAAGCCUCACCUAAGAUCAAGUUAGGGAAGGUCAGUCAUGGGUGUAAUGAAAACCAUUCUUCAAACAUCUAUGUAAUCACAUUAACCAGACUGAGGAUUAUGCUUCCCCACUUUCUUAAAAAUCUCCCAAGUGCUAACCCAUUAUAAGUUCUAUACUGAAGCUUCAAGUCUUAAGACUAAGCUAAAAUUUAAGGCCAGCUGGAUUUGAUUUGACAAUUAUUGGGUUUAGUGGGCAAAUUUGAUGGUUGAAAGUUCUAGUUGUUCACAAACAACCUCCUUAUCUUGGCAGGCAAAAGGAAGGCUUGAGGUGGUCCCUUUCAUUUAAAAGGACUCGGUUGUCCUAUCUACAAAGAAAUUAUUUUUGGUGAGUGAAAUCUAUUCUCAGAUUUUAUUUUUUUUAACCAAAAUGCUUGCCUUUCAUUCUUGUAAAGGAAAAAAAAGAAAAAAAAAAACAACAAAGAACCUUGCAUCUGAAGCUACAGAAACAUAUAUGACAGGGCAGUCGCAUGGCAUACAAUUUUUUAAUAUAUUUUAUUUAAAUAAAAUAGCUGUUAUAAGCCAUGCCAGAGACUGAAAAUAGUAGUCAAUGCACCAUUUUUUCCCACCAUCUUACCUUUGUUUAGGGGUCUUACCUUAAUAGGCUCUUUGAAACUGCAAGAUCUCUGUGAUAGGGGGUAGCUUGUCUUAUGCUGCGUAUCUCCAUCUUUGAGUUGGCAAUCUGCAACUUAACUAACUGACAAUGAAGAGCUUUGAAACUCUGGGAAAGGGGAACAAGGACCAGUUGAGAUUUGAGACUUGGCACUCUUUCCCCUUCAUUCAUUUAUCAUCAACAUUUCUACAUGCACAAGAGAUUAACCAAACAGAUAGUCAAUAGGGUAUAACCUUCCUUGAAAAGGAUUGUCAAUGCAAACGACUCCCUAAAAUUCAACCUCAUAACUGAGGGAAAGAAUUCUUACCAGGUAAUGAAUAUACUCCCUGUUUCUCAUUCAUGAUUCAGAUGUUGCUCCUUGAAUUAAGAAAGAAUAGGAUAUCGAAUGAGACUCCCAACACCAAGUGUCAGCCACAUAGUUCACAGAGUCUUUCAUUUGGCUCAAAAUUUCAAAUGAAGGUAGAAGGGCAAAAGAUACAAACCCAAUUGAGUAAGACUCAGCUCAAUUCUGGGCUUUGCUUGUCUGUCCUGUAUGUAAUAAGCCUAGUAAAUUCAAACUCCUCAACUGCCAGGACGAGGAGCUUUCAGAAACAAAAGAAUCCAACCAGCAUCCACUACUUCAAAAUAAUAAAAGUUCUAUUAACAGAUUAUUUGUUGUUCUGUUAGCAAAGAAUAUUACAAAAAUGGCUGCUUAGAUAGCAGCCUGGAGAAGGAAAAAGAAAUUGCAUACAUCUAAAAUACAGACUAAUUUCCAACACUAAUUCCUUCUCUCUCUCUCUCUCUCUCUCUCUCUCUCUCUCUCUCUCUCUCUCUCUCUCUCUUUUGAGUUCUCAAAUGCAUUAGGUAUUUUCCUGGGAUUUGUAAAUACAAUACAAUGGUAAUGAUAUAAGGUCAAGUAUUGAUUAGAUGAGGAAAAUGACAAUUUUACAUGUUUUUCUCAUAUUUAUUCACUGUGCAGGUUAGUUGUCCCAGUGGAGAUGGCAGAAAGAAUCUGAUUUAGUGUAUGGCCGUUGCUCUGAGGAUUUUGAAAAUGCCAUCUUGCAGCUAGGUCUGUAAUAUAUGGUCAACUAAUUUCAGUCUCUUAUAUGGGCAUUCAUCCUUCGGCAAAAAGCUGGCAGGCACCUCAAAGACAGCAUCCUUUUAUUUUUUACAUAAAUGCUUCCUUGGUGGGCAGUUUGCAAAUCAAUUUUCACAUCUCAAGAGCAGGACAAAACAAGAUAUUCAAUUCAACGCAUAAUGAACUCGCUCAAGUAGUUGCACAACACGAUUGACAGAGAUUGGAGAAAGCAAAGUCUGCUUUGAACUUGAUGUAACUGUCUCUAGUGAUCCAAGAGGUAAUGCUAACACAGCCUCUUGUUGCAUACUCGUGAGCUCCAAGAACUGAGCAAGCAUGUCGCCAUCCAGUAUCUUAGAUACUCCAGCCUGUCAAAUAAAAGAACCCCAAAAGUGGGAGAGAGAAAAAAAUAAGAGGAAAAACAAAUAGGUGGAAAAGAAAAGGGAAAUGGUUAGAGGACAGGCAAAAUAGUUGGAACCAUAUAAUAUAGUGAAGAUUGAUUUGAUCAAACCAGGAAAAAAGAAAAAAGAAAACUUAAAACUGAACCAGGAAGAUUAAUCAUUGCAUCACUUAAAAGAGAUGGAAGUUGCAUAAUCGCAUUGACAAUAAUACAUUCAAGAUUCUGUUUUCUUUAUAGAACAAUAUGAAAAAAUUAAUGCCAAAAGAUCAACACAACCUGAAGAUAUUUUACAAUGUACACCAAAAAUGCUCUCUACCACAUUUAAGUAAAUAAUAAAAACUAUUAAUGUAAAAGAUGAAAACAAAAUGGUCAAAUUCAUCUGAUUGCACUAGGGACACAACAUGGCUGGUUGGGACAGGUUACCAACCCGCCCCCAUAGUCUGAAUAUGUUCCCAUACCAUCCCACAUCCCAAACCUGCAGGCAAAGCGCAGGCAGGAAAAUUGGAACACUACCCCAAAUCCACUCCUAUUUGAUUUUUCCUUCCCCAAAGCCAUACUAUUAGAGCCAGGUCAUUGAAAAUACCUGUUCCAUUGCCAUACCUAGAUUGUCCCAAAUUCUAUUUCCCAAAGACAGCUACCACUAGCUUGCUCACAGGUGUCCCAAAACCUAUUUCUAAUAGUUCUCAGAUUUAUAUUUUCGUUAAAGCAAGAGAAUACAUCUAGAGAAAACAAAAACUAGAAGAAAAUUACCUUUCUCACUGAGUUUUCACGGCUUCGAAACUCAUUAUGAUCAUUUCCGAGAAUAGGAGCAGUCAGUUGGUGAACCGCAAGUCUAGCUUGUACAGCUUCUAAGAGCUCAUGUUCUUCCCUACAAAAAUAUGAUGAUUUUUUUAAUAAGCAACCAGAAAAUAUAUAUAAAAAGGAGAGGGUGGUACAAAAUGGAAAGGCUAAAGUUCGCCAAAAUACAAUGAGAGUAUACAAAGGAACAAAAAUAUGAUGAUGAUCAAGUACAGAAUUAGAUUCCAGACCACAGAAACCAAAGAAGAAGAGGUAAUCUAAUGUAGCAUUAAAACAUUACUCAUUAUAUAAGAAUCCUUCUUUUUUGAUCUUUACAUCACAUUAGGUUAUUCAACAAUUUUGUUUGGGUGCAAGCUCUUCUCUUCUUGAAACAAUCCCCACAAUUCUUUUUCUAUCUUUGGGCAAGUAACAGUUAUAGGUUUGGAAUUGAAUGGAUAAGGUACAUCAAGUAGAGCAUUUUUUUUAUUUUUGAUAGUUAAACGCACAGAAAAUUUUAUAAAUAAGAAGAGAAAAGGGCACCAAAAGGCCAACCCAAAGCAUAUAGGGAGUAAACAAGUGCCUCCCUACAUACAAGACCCUUGCCUUGGUACAAUGGAUUAAAAUAUGAUUAAUAGACUCCUCUUCAACACAACAAAAAUAAUUUUGAGUUGAUCCAAGGUUAGAACCUUCCCCCACGAGGCUUCUCAAGCAAAAAAAACCCACUUAGUGGGAACACAAGGGCUCAUAUGAUGUUUGGAAACGGUACUGCACUUCUAGGUUCAAGAGCAUCAUAAAGGGACUUAACAAAAAAUUUCCCGUCCUUAGCGUAUUUCCAUUGCAUCCUAUCCUCCAAAUCAAUCACUAGCCUCUUUCCUUGUAAUGUCAAAAGGAACCUCUCCACCUCCCAAUCAUUGAAAGGCCUAAAGAACCAAGGAUUCCACUCCCCCCUCCUCCCAACACCCUGCUACCCAUGCCUCUUUUGAAUCCACUAAGGCAUACAAAGAGGGGAAAGAAUCACAUAGGACAUUGUUCCCGCAUCAUUUGUCCUUCCAAAAUCUCACUCUUCUACCAUCCCCCACAAAGAAAACAGUUUUUUUAAGCAAUAAAGACUCUUCUUUCUUAAUUUCCUUCCAUAACCCCACCCCAUAGCCUUCCCUCACUUCUCAAGUACACCAUCUUCCUCCUUCCACCCCAAACUUCCUACUAAUAUUAUGCUUCCAAAGUGCCAACUCCAUUUGCACAAUAGAGCCCUAUUGAGAGUAGAGAAACUUUUAACACCCAAACCACCCUUCCUUUUAUCUAAAUAGAUAAUUGCCCACUUUACAAGAUGAGGCAUCCUCUCUAAAGCUCCCCCACUCCAGAGAAAGUCCCUUCAAAUUUGCUCUAAUCUCAACCUAACAACUAUUGGCAUAUGCAUCAAAGACAUGAAGUACAUAGGCAUGUUGGACAAAGUGCUUCGAAUGAGAGUGAUUCUCCCUUCUUUAUAAAUAUAUUGCCUCUUCCACAUAGCUAGCCUCUUCCGAAACCUCUCCUCCACCCCAUCCCAAACUGCCACAGAUUUGUGUGGUGCACCCAAGGAGCCUCAAGUAAGUGGAAGGAAGCGCUCCCACUUUGCAACCGAGUUCAAGGGCCAAAAUCCAUACAUUCUCUACUCUCCACACCGGUAAAAUUUCACUCUUAUCUAAAUUGAUUCUUAGCCCUGAAAUUGCUUCAAACCACAUUAACAACCAACUCAAAAAAAACCAUCUACUCCUGGGAAGCCUCAUAGAAAAUCAGCAUAUCAUCAGCGAACAGCAAGUGAGUAAUUUGAGCCCCAUUUCCACUCCUUCCGCUUAUCUUACAGCUUAAUAAAAACACCCCCCGCCCACUGCUCUAUUUAUGAGGCAACUUAAAGCCUCCGUCCCAAUCACAAAUAAGUAAGGCAAUAAAGGGUUCCCUUGUCUCAAUCCUUUAGUACUGUGGAUGAAACCCGUCGGUGUGCCAUUAACUAGAAUAGAGAACGUCGUAGUGGAUAUACACUAUUUUAUCCAGCUUGCCCAUUUCUCCCUAAAACCCAUUUUCUGCAUCACUACCAACAAAAAAUUCCAAUUAAUGUGAUCAUAAACCUUCUCUAUAUCUAACUUGCACAACUCCCCACUCUCAUUCCUUUUCAACAUCGAAUCUAUGGCCUCAUUAACUCUUAAGGCAACGUCAAGAAUUUGUCUUCCCUCAACAAAAGCAUUUUGGGACAAAGACACCACCUUACCCAUCACCUUCUUUAACCUAUUAGAUAACACUUUUGUUGGCAAACUUGUACAAUUCUCCCACCAAACUGAUUGGUUUGAAGUCUUUAAGGUCAUCCGCGCCUCCUUUUUUGGAACUAAAACCAAGAACUCAAGCUCCUUACAAAUCUUCCCUACUCAUGGAAUUCUUUGAAGAAACCCAUUACCUCAUCUUUUACAAACUCCCAGCAAAACUAUCAGAACGCAAAAGAGAGCCCAUCUGGACCAGGUGCCUUGUCCCCAUUCAACUCUAAAAUGGUAGAGAAGACUUCUUCCACAGUAAACACUUCAUCCAGUCUCGCUUCCUCUUCCCUAAUUCUUCAAAGUCCAAAUGCAUUCAAACUAGGACGCCAAUCACCAAGAUCCAUCAGCAAAUUCUGGAAGGCUCUUAACCACACCCUUAUGAAUCUCUUGCUCUUUUGACAUCCAAUUCCCAUUAAUUUUGAUCUUUGCCAAACAAUUCCUCCUCCUAUAGGAGUUAGUCAUCCUAUAGAAGAACCAUAUGUUCUUAUCACCUUCCCUCAACCACACUUCUCUUGAUUUUUGUCUCCAAGAACUUUUCUCCAUAAGAGUCCACUUCUUGAAAUCCUACCUAGCCUCCUUUCUAGUCUCCAACUCCUCCACCGAUAAAGCUCUCAAACGCUAUUGAUCAUCCCAAAAAUGCACAUUAUCCAAAGCCAAACUCUUGUCAACUCCCACCUUCCCAAACACAUCCUUGUUCCAGAUUUUCAAAUUGGUUUUUAAAGCCUUUAAUUUUGUUACCAAGAUAAAGUCAUAGGAACCAUUGAAAUUGAAACCUUGCCACCAAAUUUUUAGCAACUCCUUAAACUCCUCCUUUAGCCACAUAUUUUCAAAACAAAAAGGAGUUGGACCUCUCCUCACCCCUCCCCCAUCUAACAAAAUUAGAAAAUGAUCAGACACUGGCCUUGGAAGAGUGCAUUGCACCACCCCACUAAAAUGACUCUCCCAAUCCUCAAAGACCAAAAACCGAUCUAGUCUUGACAUGGAUUGGCCAUUCAACCCAACAAUCCAAGUAAAAGGGCCCCCUUUGCAAAGGGAGAUCUUUCAAAUCCAACUCAUCAAUCACCUCCAAGAAUCUUCUCAUAGAAGAAGACAUUCUUUCUUCCUUUCUACACACUCUAAGGAAUCUGAUCACAUUAAAAUCGCCUCCAAUGCACCAUGGGGCAUUCCACAAGCCACGAAUGGCCCUUACGUCCCCCCAAAAGCUUUCUCUACAUCUUUUCAUGAUGGGCCCAUAAACACCCAUAAAAAUCUACAAGAAGCCAUCCUCACAGUUUUUAAAGCAACACGAAAUCAAAAAUUGACCCACCUCCAUUCCUACCAAUUCCAACACUUUGUUAUCCCAAAAGACUACCACCCCUCUAGCUACCCCCCAGCAUUCACUACCCCUCAUUCUAAGAAUCUCCCCACUCCUAGCCUUUGCAUCACCCCCAAGAACAUAUCCUAAAUUUUAGUCUCCUGCAAACACACCAAAUGCACUCUUUGAGACCUGAUUAGGGCCUUGAUUAUCUUCCUCUUGUUUCUAUCAUUAGCUCCUCUUGCAUUCCAAGAUAAAAUUUUUAUGUUCAUCUAAGGGUCGAAACUCUAGCCCCACCUCCUCUGACCAAACCAUCUCCUCGCUCAAACCACUAUAAUUAAUGGAACACUAAUUUUUUCAGUUCAUGUUCAAACUUCGUCGUCACUGAAAUUCCCCUCUUUUUACUCUGCUCUCUUCUUUUCUUGAUCCUUAGAAGCAAAUUCAAUAUUUCCCCUUCAAAGCACUUGAAAAUCCCAAAAACUUGUUGAACUUCACCAAACAACUGCCAUCCCACUUACUACAAUUCCCCCCUAAUUCCUACAACCACCCCUCAUCAUCAAUCCUUUCAGCACUACCCCCCACUCGUUCCUCAGCCAAAUUCUUCUCCCCCUUUGAUGCCAUCUCCCAUGCACUGCCAUCAACCAAAAUAAUACUCAGCGGAUUCUGAUCCCCUGCACCAUCUGUGGCAACCAACCCUCCUAGGCCAAAGGACCCACUCACCACCAAGGCCUGGCCAAAACCAAAAGAAGGAAGAGAAAAGGAAAGAUCCUGAACCCCCACAAAGAAUGAAGGAGAAUUGCCGUACCUGGACGCCUCCGCCAACAAAGCUUCAUCAGUAAUCGCUGCCCUAUCCACCACCCCAACGGUCUCUGACAACAAAACUUCCCUCGAUGCCCCUCCAAAGAGGUCUUCGUCACCCCUUUCCUCUCGUUCCUUGCCAGUCGAAGAUACCUCUGGUGCCCUAGCUUUAGAGACUGAAAAGGCUGGCCCUUUAAAUAGUUCCCCUCCCACUAAGCCCACUUUCUCAAGCCCAAGACCCAUUCCAAACCCCUCCUCACAGCCUACUAAAGGCUCCUUUGGGUGUUAUUAAUUUUUAUUUUUAUUUUUUUGAUAGGUUAUUCUAGGCGUUACUAAUGAAGAGGCAAUCUUGCCUUCUACAGUUCCAAGAGAUCCUCAAUCUCCUGUUUUAUGCACAACAAUGAUAUGCCAAUUGGAAAGACUUUAUAGAGGGAUGAAGCUGGCUAAGCUCAAAGACAGAAUCCAGUUGCCCUUGUACACAUCACAAUUUGUACACGUGGCAUCUUAUUUAAUGGGCCCUUUCAUGAUGGAUUAUUAUGUGGUAAAUGUUUGUCAGGGUUGAAGAUCGAUUGAAAAUAUUGGGCUUACUGAAGGAGAUCUUGAAACUGCAAAAGUUGGAUCUCCAAUUUAAACUGUAGCACUGUUUAAUUUUUUAUUUAUUUACUUAUUUAUUUGAUCAGAUGUAGCACUGGUUGAUUACCAGAAUAGUUUGAUUCUGGUUAAGCUUCUAUUAUGGAAUAUCAAGGCUUUCAUGGGCAGAAGCAUUGCAGAAGUCACUAUUGUUUCAACAACUGCCCCACCUACAUAUCUUAUUUACUAUCCUGGUUGCAGAAGUAAUACAUAAGAGAUGUCUUAAGAGGGGCAUUAUUUGAAAAAUAUUGAAAUCAUGAACUCAAAUACAAUAUGAUCUUGAAACAGUGAUGAUUUUGGAGGCUAGAGAUAGCUUGCACAAGUUGAGACAGUGACAUAAUAUGGUCUUUUUACCAGGUUUUUUGUCUACCAAAGUGGUUGGGUCACAUGAAUGAGGUUUUCUAGAAAGUAUCUCCAGCAUUAGAUGACUUCAUUAGGAAGGAACUUGGAGUAGGGAGAAGAUACCGGGUGAAUUUCAACAAUGGUAUCCAAUAUCUCAAAAAAGAUUCCAAGGAGUAGUGGAGCAGCUUCUGAAACUGUGAUAUGGUUCCAAGAGUAAAACUGGACUUUGUAUAUAGAAGAGUUUCAAUUCCUUGCUCCCUCAAUCUAAGUAAUACCAAUCCUUUCAUUUGUUGACAUGGUAAGGCUAGGAGAAUCUCCAAGCAGAGCGGUGUGGCAUACUUAAAUUCCUUCUAGACUCCUUUUUUCCUGGUUGAAAGCAGUAGAGAAGCUCUCAGAAAGACAUCCCCUUAUAGCUUGAAGAUGGACCUCAUCUGAUCAAUCUGAGAUGUGCACCAAGUAAAUGGAGUAUCUUCUGAUUCAUUACUUCCUUAGGCUUGCUUUUUCAGGUCUGUUUAGUUUAGAGGCAUGAAACACUGGUUUUCCCACAUCCUAUUAUGGAGCUUUUUCUUCAUCCCAGGAAAAAUUUUGGAUAAUGGAGCUUGAGCUUUUUUUUGGACUACUUCCAGGGAAAAAUCCAUACAUAUUCAACUAUGACUCAUCUAGGAAGCUUAUCAUCUUUCUAUGUUAGGACAGAAUGAUCUGAUGCAUUUCUGCCUUGCCCUGAACUGAACAUCUUAACAUGGUGGUAAGAAAGGUGACUUCUGAACCUAUUUCCAGGUUUUGUUUCUGAUCAGAGGUUUUUCUUCUGAUUCAUUACUUCCUUAGGCUUGCUUUUUCAGGUCUGUUUAGUUUAGAGGCAUGAAACACUGGUUUUCCCACAUCCUAUUAUGGAGCUUUUUCUUCAUCCCAGGAAAAAUUUUGGAUAAUGGAGCUUGAGCUUUUUUUUGGACUACUUCCAGGGAAAAAUCCAUACAUAUUCAACUAUGACUCAUCUAGGAAGCUUAUCAUCUUUCUAUGUUAGGACAGAAUGAUCUGAUGCAUUUCUGCCUUGCCCUGAACUGAACAUCUUAACAUGGUGGUAAGAAAGGUGACUUCUGAACCUAUUUCCAGGUUUUGUUUCUGAUCAGAGGUUUCAUUUUAUGAUUGGAACUUGACACUUUAUCUGACAAUGCACAAUGCUGUCUCUCUGCAUGGCUUGUAGAGUUGUACAUCCCCUCUACCUUAUUACACUAUUCAUUAAUAUAUUGAAAUUGUUCAUAACAUGCAGCUUCAUUAACUAAAAUGCCCUACAAACAUCAUUAAAGAAAAAAGAAAUAGUAACAGCAUAUAAACCUUUAACACAUACCUCGAUAUAGGAAUAAGCAUUAUUAUGCUUCCUAACAGUGUACCGGCCAUAAUACUGUUCUCCGAAAAGUCGAUAAUUGUAUUAGAACCAUCACAACCCUUCAAAACAUCAUCUGCUGGCAGCUUAUAUGAAAAUGACCCCUAAAUGGAUGACAUCAAGAAAGUUAUUGGGACAUCACCCAGAAAAGAAUAUGCAUAAAGAUGAUAAAAUCUUGUUUCCUGAGCUUUGAAAUAAGACUAGAGAACAAGAAGAAAAUAGUUCACUAUAUGCAUUAAAAAUUUUCUUAAAUUAGAAUCUCCACACCACAAAGCAGUCUCAGAAACAAAACAGCAUACCAGAAAUGACCUUUCAAGUACUAAAUAAGGGCUGAACCAAACUGAAAGUGAUUGCUGUUUUUGUUAAUUAACAAUCCUCCUAAAACCUUAAGCUUUUAGGAAAAUUACUAGUUCAAUAUCAUAUCAGAGCUUAGUUUCGAGGGAGGUCAUGUGUUCAAGCCUCACCGCAUAUUUAUUUUCUCAAUUUAUUGAGAAAGCCCAAAAGAGGCUAAUUGUGGUUCUUUGCUAAUGGACCCUGUAUAUCUCUCCAUGUGUAAGUAUAGGGCUGUGCGUGAGGGAGGAUAUUAAAGAGAAUGAAAUGCAUUGUGGACCUAUAUCCUACAAGCUUAAGCUUUUAGUAAAGUUGAUUGUUUAACAUGGUAUUAGAGCAUCGUUUGGCUAGAGGUCAUGCAGUCAAACCUUACUGCAUGUUUAUUCCCUCAAUUUAUUAAGCUCACAAAGAGACUACUUUAUUUAUCCAAUUUAUUAAGCCCACAUGUAAGCCAAAGGAGGCUACACAUGAUGGAGAGUUUUAGAGUGCAUCAUAUACAUUGUAGGCCCCAUUCCUACAAGUGCUUUUAGGAAAAUUGGUAGUUCAACAGUUUUGAACUACAUGUCUUUUCUCCAAUCACCUAUUGCCACUUAUCCUCUCAGAAGUACCUUGCUUCAAUUUCAAAGUAGAAGCACCUUACUAUCAUAAUACUUUUCUCAUUUCUAAUCAGGAAGUAGAAAUAGAAAGGAAGUAGAAUUACCAUGCAAGAUAGAGUGGUGUCUAAUGGUUUCAUAGGAUUACCAUGUCCUGACAACUAUGUAUAGAUAGUUUAUACACUAUGUUCAAUGUAUGCAACAUGUUAUUAACCAUAUGUGCUAACAUAAAUUUUAAAGCCAAGCCUUCUAUCACAAAUCUCAUUACCUAAAUGGGAAAUUCAAUCUCAUGCAUUUCAUUCUCAAUGGUUGGUUAAUAGUUAAGGUACCAGGAACAAUGCUCUAGCCAUUUCCAGCUAGAUCACUGACCACAUCCUUCACCUUUUAAAAGAGUAAACAAUUACAAGCAAAUCUGCGACAAAUUACUAAAAGCCCUGUAAAACAGCAAGCACAUUAAUACAGGACUUACCUUCUUAAUGCUCAUGGCUAUCUCCCCCAUAUAGUAUGAACAAUUCAAUGUUAAAUUGCAUUCUGGACUUGCAUUAUCUGGACAUGAAAUUAUAAGAAAUUUAAAACCGUGCAAUUCUUAAUGGAAACAAAGUUUUAAUAAUAAUAAUAAUAAGAAGAAGAAGAAGAACAACAACAACAACAACUAUAAGCUUGCUAAUCCAACAGGACUCAAAAUAACAUAGUAGUGCUUCGGCAACAAGUCUGGUUUAGAAACUACAAUCUAAGCAGGCCCCAAUAAAUUAUAGCUACAGAGUUUGACCAGGUAAACAGAACCUAAUAAAACCACGCCAUACCAACAUGAAGCAGAAAUGCAACUUGCUCUAUACAAAGGGUCAAUUAGCAGGUCAAAAAUCAGAAAAGAUACUGGAUGAUUUCGUCAGGCAAGUAAAUAUGACGCUUCAGUCACAGAAAUGAGGUUUAAAUUACAAAUUUACCUUCUAAAUGGUUUGAACAUGACAGGACAGCAAUGCUCCCUUUGCGAUCUGAAACAACAGCAGUAUCAACAUCCAUGAGAAUACAAUCAGCAACCAAUCUCUGCUCUGGGUCACAGUAAAGCUGCUCAAGUUUCCUGGAAUCCUGAAGAGCAAAAAAGCACAGUGGACAUGAAGGACAAGCCUCAGGCACUAAUCUGAUUUAUUCAAACAGGAAAGCCCAUGAAAAUAAAAAUAGGCAGGGAAUUAGCAAUAUAUUUAACAAAAAGUUACAAGAACUGAAAUUACAGACAGAAAACAGCAAUUUUUAGUCACCUCAUGAUAGGAAUAGAAAACAACACCAUCACGGCAAUCACCAACAGCAAUUCUAGUAAAAUGUGCUGUCAAAGACAUUAUCAUGAAGCGUGUCCUUCCAACAGCAAACCUUCUUACUCUUUGAGGGUUAUCAUUUGGAAAACCACAUACAUAAAACUGACAGAAGAAUACAAAUAUCUUCAUCAGAAAUAAACAUGCAAUAGACCAUAGUUGUCCUAGCAUCUUAAAAGGAUCAAAGAAGAAUUUUGCAACUUACCGAGUUACCAGCAGAUGCCAAAAAGUAACGGUCAAGAUAAGGACAGAUAGCAAGUACCAUCCCAGGCCAUGUGGCUGUGUAAGCCAAUCGCAGCUGCCAUGCUUCACUUUCUUCAAGCCUGACUCCAUCACAACUAGUAUCAUCAGGACUGCUGCAAAGGCUACUGCCUGAUAACUGUUCAGCAGCGUAUCCAACAAUUUCACGAAAUGGUGAUGUUCGCUGGGAAGAUGACCCUGCCUUUGAACAAAAUGUCAUUGAACCACUAUCUGAAUUUUGCAUGUGUUCAAGGCAGAGGACAAUUAGACGGCCCUUCGUACUGUGGAGAAAACAUCCACUUCAGGCAUAUAUAGAGCUAAUAAUAUGGCAUUCAUUACACAUACGCAUCAAUUUACAAAUAGGUUUGGCAUGAGGACUCAACAAAAACGAUCAGACAUACAUAGUCAAAAACGAUGAGAUUUUACACUAUUACAAUAGUGAUACGCCAAUCCAAUAAUCAUAUUGUAGGUUUUCAAGGUACAAUUUGUAGGAUGCCAAAAGGAAGUUGGUUUCAUCAACUUUCAUGUCUAACUUGAGUCCACAAGUUGAGCCAUUACAUGUUCAGCCCAUAUUUUUCUACCAAAGGAGUAGGUUUUAGGAGUUCAAAAAUCAUAAACUCAUGGCAACUAACAUCAAUUAGAAUUAUAGAAUGUGGAAUAUGAGAUAAAUGAUUAACCUUUCAGCUUCACCACUGGGCAUCAUAGCUGGACCAGAAGACAGACUGGUUCCAAUCACCAAAACCUGUUCGUUUACAACCCUUACCAACUCCAUGGAUUUUCCAGUUUCCCCAAGUUCAAGUUUAAAAGAUGAAAGCACAGAUCCACUAAGAGGAUCAACACAACAAAUAUCGGAUGAAUAUGUAUCUUGACUCAAUUCGGUCCUCAUCACAAGCAAUAACCUGCUUUCACUAUGAUAUAAAACCUUCCUUGGAGUGCCUCCAAGAUAAAAUUUCUGCACAUUAAGCCUCUUACUAUGCACCAUCUCCACCUGCAGCAUAACAUGAUCAAAUAUCACAUAAGUUGAUUCUGCAGUGCAGACUAGUAAAAUAUAAACAUGUUAAUUCAGCAUAGAGGCAGCAACAAAAUAAACAACUGCAGAAACAUUAAUUACCAAUUCCCAGAUCAAACUCAAAAUGUUUAUCAUCAUAUGUUAGCACACCAGCUUAUUGGAUCAAACUCAAAAUGUUUAUCAUCAUAUGUCAUCAUCAUUAUCAUUAUCAUUAUCAUUAUGCAGAUCUCAACAUUAUUAUUAUUAUUAUCAUUAUUAUCAUUAUUAUUAUUAUUAUUAUUAUUAUCAUUAUUAUUGAUAAAGAAUCAAAUUAUAUCAAAAAGAGUAGAUCUGAAAAAGUAUGCCAACAAGAUAUCUCAUUUGUGGACAGCGAAAAAUUUCCCAAAGAUUGUGAAAGUUUGUACUGGUAUGACAGAAUGUGUUAAGAGGCACUGAGACCUAAAGAAAACAGAUUUGAAGGAACGAUAUAUGAAUUCCUACCAGCAUGAAUGUUAAAAAUAGAGACUUUGCUAAUUCUCACCAAAUCAAGACCCCACUAUGAGGCUGAUCAAAAAUAAAAAUUGGUUGCUCAUGCAACCUGGUGAUAUCAGGACAAGGACUCUGCACCCUGUCUUAAGGAAGGAGGUGGUAAGGAUUGCCCUAAUUAUCAUAUUAGGUGAUAGGAAAGAAAGUUUGAUCUUAGAUUUCCAUAUACUAAGAGUAGACUGUAGACCUAAAAAUAGGCACUAGAGGUAUAGAUAUAUUAAUCCAGUCAAGCAGGUAGAUACUCAAAAUAAAAUAACUAAUAUAGUCAUAAUAUGAGUAACCAACUCAAUGGGCAAAACUACCAAGGUAGAAUGCUAUGGGGGCAAGCUAUUGUAUAUCCAUUGGGGAACAAAACAUAAAUAUCAAAUUCAUUUAUUUAACUGCAGAAAAUAAUUUGUGAAUAAGGGAACUCUAAAAGGCAGCCCUUUUCAUGAGAUUGAGAAAAAUAAAUUAUCGUACAAUGAAGUGUUUCUAGAUGGUAUGUUAUAAAAGUUAUAUACGAACAUGUACACAUUUAGUAAAUUAAUAUAAACCUUAAGAAAAGCAGGAAACAAAAAAAUUGAAAUAACAUUAAAUAAAAAAUUGAACAUAACACUAAAUAAGGCAAAUAUAUUGUUAUAACAGUUGCAGUAAACAUGAUUCAUUUUUAGUGACUAGGCUUGACUGAAUCUUUUACACAUAGUUAUAGAAUAGAUUAUGAUAAGCAGAAAAAGAAAAACAGCAUAAUUAACUAAAGCUAAAUAUCCACAACAGCACAAAUAUACAGCAGAUAAGAGACCUUACCAAAUGUAGACUAUUUUCCGCAACAAAUAAUAUUCCCAUAGGGCAUUCCAUGGAACAUACGGGAGUUACAUGGGUUGAAGGUUGAAAUGAGAUGGAAGUAUAUGAGAGGCUGUGCCUCGCACUCUGCAAUAACCAAGGCCUAUCACUGAGAGCAAUAAUAUCAGCCUCAAGCGAAUCACUCAGAGGAACCAGGAAAACAGGAGUAAUGCCAAUACGACGGAUCGCAAUUAAUUGCAGAUUAACAGGACUGUUGAUAUUUGUCUCUUCUGAUAAAUUAAUAGCACACAUUUGUGGGCCAAUAGAAUUUGGCGCCAUCAUAUUUGAUAAAUUAGUAUCAGCAUCAUUUACCGAACAGGAACUCACAGAUGGGCUGUGACUGGAUAAUUCUGAUGAGAACACCAUAGAGGCAGCAGGCAACUCAAACCGAAGAAGCAUUCCAUUUCUCAAACCUGAAAGAACAUAAAAUCGAUCAACUAGAACAAGUCUUGCGUCCUGAGGGACACAACCACUAACAGCAGUUCCCAAUGUAUUUGUUAAUGAAAUGGCCCCAGAAGCAAGAAUUCUAAGGCCUUCAUCAGGUAGGAAUGACAAAAUCUCCACUGAAGGCUUAUGAGUGCCAAUGACAAAGAUUCGACCAAUAUUUACCCCAAUCAGUAGGGCAGCUGCACUGCUAUUAUCAACUAAAUUACUGAGAAAAGUGGACGGUUUUUUAUCGAAAUGUUUAUGAGGUAUGGAAAUGCAGGAUACUUCAUUUUGCAAUCUCACAUGCUGCAUCUCAUAUAUUUCAUAUUGAUAUGCUGAUACUGAUCUGACCCCAAGAAUAAAUAAGAAGCAUGGACUCGAAGUUGCGACAACAAUUAAAUUAUAUCCAACUGCCCCUAGACUGAUGCUUAUAUUUUCUGGAAACCAAGAUGUACAAAUUGGAGAAGCCAAUGGAAUGCCUUCAGGAUGUGCAACUGUUGUGGGCAAACAGAGUUUAACCCCAUUUUUGUGGAUCUGGACCAGCAAACCAUCAUCCACAACACCACAUGCCAAAGUAGAGACAUCAGGCUGAAAUCCAACUGAAUCAGUCACAUCAGUAAAACUUAAACCAACUGAUAAUACCCUAGUCUCUUCAACAAAUGACAGCACAAGAAAAGAAUGAUAAGAAUCAAUAACUUUCAUUUUAACAGUCCAAGUGCCAGUUAUGCCUUGAUAAAUUGGGGCAGUCCUCAAUAGCUUUUCCACACUGAUGCCACUCCGUAUGAUCCUUAAUGAUCCCUCUGGUGUCACUCCACAGCAGGCAAACAUUUGAUCAUGUUCCUCAUCAUGGCAAUCUACAACAGACAUAUCCAGGAUUGGAGCAAUGUUUUGAAUAGGACUUCUGUAAACCAGCCUUCCCUGUUCCAAUUUCAGGACCAUCCCAUCCCCCAUCUCUACAAGUGCAGCAAGAAAUCCGCCUGCAAACCACAAAAGUGCCUUGCAGGAUAGACCUCUAUAAAGACAAUCAGAUAGAUUAACUUUAGGGCCAUCAGAGUCAAAAGAAAUUUCAAUCAUAAAAAGUUCUCCUGUAUCUACACAAAAUAUCAUCCUCGAAUUUUUUUCAUUUCCUGGUUCCCAACUCAAUGCACAGACAUGUUUGGAGGUUGAUUUUACCAUGCCACUGUCACCAUCUACAUUCAUAGGAUCAUCACCUUUAGCAACAUAAUCCUUCAGCUCUAGCAAGGCACUGGCAGCAACAUUAAAGAUGCCAUCUUCAUCACCAUCAUGUACUCGACAUGACUCUUCAGCAAAAUUCUGCUCAACUGAAGUGGGUAAAAUAUUUAAGCUUGUCUUAUAGACACAACAAGGGUUGUGAGCAUCCCUAAGAUCCAUCAGAAGAGCAUCACCAAUCCUGAACAGAAAGGCAAAUCCAUAUGAAUGAGGAACUUCAACAAUGCUAUGAGCUACAUGUCCAGCUUCAGCAUACUGAGAAAUAACACGAACAGCAUUUUCAAUAAUAAUCCAUUCCAAUAAAACCAGCUCAGUCAAAACCGCCCCCCUCCUGCACUAUCAGAAAUUUAGUAAGGAGUUAGGUUAACCUCAACAGAACACAAAUGAAAAGACAUGAAAAUUCUUCUGCUUUUCAGUGAUCUGAACAACUGGUUUAUGACUACAGAUUCUCUAUAUUCACAGUCAAUUGGCAUACCUAUUUAGAAUAAUUGCUAGCACAGGGUUGUACCCACCACUGGGUUGAUUAAGAUCUUUUGAAAUAAAGCACAUGCUCCAUAUGGUACCAGAUAUACUGGUUCUGUGGACACUUCUAGCUACGCCUGAGUCCCCUUCUAUUUCAGGAGGAUAGAAUAUUCUCUGAAAUCAUGGCAUAUAGGAACCAUCAUCAAAUGAAAUCUGCAUCUAAUCACAAUAAAAUCUGUACAAUUGAAUAAAUUGCUUUUCCAAUAUUGACAGCAAUGUAAAUAUGUUCUAAAAUGUGAUCAAACUACCAUAGAAAUUCAACCUUAUCAAUGAUAUCACUGUCGGUAGCCAUUGAAAUGGAGAACAUGGCCAAUCGAUCUUCAUAUGCACUAGUGGCAAUAAAACAGCCGCUGAGUGGGGUAGGGGGGAAAAAAUAAAUAAAUAGCAGUUAGGAACAUUAAUAGGAAUUCAAAAUGCAAAACUUAUUAUUUUUCCCUUAAAACCUGAUUCACAGAAGCAAAUUGAUAAAGGGCCUAUUUGGCACAGCUUUACAAACACCUACUGUCCCUUUCUACAGUUGAAAGAAUUCUGCGUUGUGUUCAAUCACAAUCAAAGCACUUCAGAGCAAAAGAGGGUCAAAUCCUAAAAGCUCUUUUCUGUAGUGGAAUGCAUUUGCAGAAGAGCUUUCAGCAAAAAGUUUCAGAAUUUAAAAUUGUUCACAUAUUAAAUAAAAAAUUUUCUUCACACAAAUUUUUUCACAAAAGCACUUCACUAGAAGCUACAGAUACACCAAACAGAAACAUGCACACAUGUACAGAACUUAAACACAAAGAUUAACUGGGAAGCUUUGCGACCCUAUUCCAAGAAAACCACUGCAACAGCACUCAAAUUAGAAACUUGAGAUAUGUAAUUGGGCCAAUAGCAUCAUCCUACUAUGUAUUAAGGACACAUGCAUGUAUAUUAACUACAUGGAUAGCUAUCUAUGUACAAAAUAAUCAACAAAGAAGACACUGCUUAUCAAUAGACAAAUAAGUGUGUUUUGUAACUAAUCUCAAUCCCAUUUUAAUUUAUCUCAUCACCUUGCAUAAACCAAAACACUCUGUUUAGAUCCUUUAAAAAAAAAAUGACACUUACUUCGAAUCAAUAGCCAGCAUUUGUCCAAGCUGGUUCCUCAAGUUUCCUGGACUGGAAAGCUGAACAUGUGUCACUGGGAAAAACCUGGCCCAACAAACAGUAUACAAGGACGUUAGGUAAUCCAUCAGAAAAGGCAACAUAUCAUCCAAGAUCAACAUAGGAAAUAACAAAGCCCAUGCUGGGCCCCAACCUAUCCUUUCACUAUUAAAGAAUGAGUAAGGAAGAAAAAUAGAAAACCUGUGCAUUUCGUUGCAAAAUCUGAGAAAUGAAAGCUUCCCAGAAUCAGAAACAACGACCAAAAGAUCUCUACCUUGCAUCUACAACAUGAAAAGGGGGAAAAAGUAUUGAAAAUAAUCAGGUAAAUACUUAUUCAUGGCAACCUCCUCCUAUCUUUACCUUCAUAAUGUGAUUAAGUGAAAACUACAAGCAGAUGACUAAUACUGUCCAUUACUAAUUAAUGAAUUAGAAGACCUGUAGAUUUUGAUGGUGGAACCUCUCAUUCCAGCGUAGAACAGCAAGAUCUUUAAUUGUGCCAAAUACAGCUUGCUCACAAACAGAUUGUACAAUCCCAUCUUCACCAAUUAUUACCAACUCUAGGGAUGUCUCCUGAAUGAAAUACCAUCAAAGAGUGACGGUUAAAUUUAAGCCACCAAGGUGUAUGAAGAAAGGAUCUAAUAACUCUUCAAUACUCAGUUAACAAAUUCCACAGUCAGAUGAGAGUUACUUCAUAAAACUUUUUCUCUGUAAGUAACAGAUAACAAUAGCAUUAAACAGGGUGCAAAGGAGGUGCAACACAAGCACAUAGAGAGUAUGCAGGAAGAAGUCACUUGGAAAGAAAGAAAGAGUAAAAUAAGGGAAACAAUAAUAUACAGGAUCGUAACAUGAACUGAAGCAGAGGAUACAUUCCUAAAUAAAUCAGAAAGAGUGCCAGAAAUGAAAGAUCUACAAGGUUCAAGGACAAAGUUGAGGAGAGAACAAACAAAGAAUCAAAUGCCAGCUCCUAAAGCUUCUACUCUGAUGCUUCAACUACCCAUUUCUCCUAUAGUUCCCAAAAUGAACAAGACAGAAUCGGCCUUCCAAAUAUUCCACCACCCUCACUCACAAAUUCUCCAUGCCAGCUAGCCAUCAUCAACUUCAAGGUUCUUGGAACUCAGUGAAUCCAAGAAAGUCAACCAAAAAAAACAAAAGGAGAAAAAAAAGGAAAUAAACAUGCUACAAUUCCCCAGAAACCACACAAUGAAGCAUCAAAUCAUCCAUAGUCUCACCAUCCUCCUUACACAUGCAGCACCAAUUUGGAAUUAUUCUACCUCUUUUUAUGUUUUUUGAAAGAUAAAAGCAAUUGUAUUAAGAGUGCCUAAAGAUGAGCACCCAAAAGUAUACACAAUGUAUAGAAGGCACCUUGGCCAAAAAAGAAGAGGAAUACACAAAGGCCCUCACCUCAGACCACGAGCUAAAACCUACAUGCACCCUAAACCAAUCCAAAAAGAUGUACAAAAAAAGGACCGUAAAAUAGCUUGGUCCACCAAUUUGGAAUCUUCAAAGGCUCUUCUAGUUCUAUCCUUCUAUAAGGUCCAAAAUAAGCACAAAGGAACCAUUCUCUGUACCUUCUUCCUUUUCUUCCCAACAAAAGUGCCAUGUUAGAUGAGUAUGGCAUCCUUGACUAAAGAUGGCAUCACCCACUGAAGACCAAAAAGAGCAAAAAUAAGCUAUCAAAUCAUGGUUGCCUUAGGUCAAUGAAGAAACACAUGAUUCACCGAUUCCUCCUCUCCUUAACACAAAGAGCAACCACUUGGAACAAAGCAGCCCCUCCUUUUUAGCUGAUCUAGAGAUAGAAUCCUUCCCCAUACAGCUUCCCAAGCAAAUAAACUAACCCUUUUCAGGACCCAAGGGUUCCACAUAAUGCUUAAAAGGAACACACUAGUGUUGCAAAUUGCUAAUCACCAAGUGAUGACAUCCUCAACCCCCCUUCUAAUCACCUGCCCUUGCAACCUCCUGAAAGAAGCUUCCAGCCUUCCCAUUUCUCAAUCAUUAUUACGUCUUGUGAAUACUGGAUUCCAAUGCCCCACUUCCCCCACCUGCUCCCACAACUAGUCUACCCAAGCAUCUUUAGCGAAGGCUAAUGAGAACAAACUUAGAAAAGCCUCUUCCAAGAAGUCCUCUCCACACUACCUAUGCUUCCAAAAUUUCACCCUUCUAUCAUUCCCUACCCUAAACAUGACCCUUUAGCUAAACUCCAUGAUGGCCUUCCAAAGACUCAUAGCAUAACAUUCCCUAGAAGCUUCAGGACACCCACCCUCCCCCUUCCUUUCCAUACUUACCUACAAUCACCUAUUUCCAAAAAUACUCAUUCUGAUAAGCAAAUCUCCAACACCAUUUUCCAAUAAGGAUCUUAUUCACCAUAGACACAUUUCUAAUUCUCAAGCCCCCAUCCUUUUUCUCCAUGCAAACAAUUGACCACAUUAUCAAGGAUUUGUGACCUCUUAUCUUCUUUGUUAAUUUAAUUUUUUUUAGUAGGCAAUUAGGAAAUGCAUUAACGGCACCAAGCAAACAAGUGCACCAAGUACAUGCAUGAAGCAACAUAUGCAACAGGCUCCUUGUUUAUUAGAUAAUACUCCAACAUACCCGAACUAGUCCCAUGGAUGCAGCGCAGCCCCCCAUACACCUAGACCUUUACUCUUUGAAUGUGACCCGUGAAAUCCAAUUCUGUCUUGAUUUUCGACCAUGAAGAAUAAAACCCCUAAAACAAAAAACACUCCCUCCUU
rnacentral:lncRNA from 1 species